rnacentral:rRNA from 1 species
GAUCAUGGCUCAGGAUGAACGCUGGCGGCGUGCAUAACACAUUCAAGUCGAACGGACUGAUUCGAUAGCUUGCUAUUGAAGAAAGUUAGUGGCGGACGGGUGAGUAACGCGUGAGCAACCUGCCUUUCUGAGGGGGAUAACACAGGGAAACUUGUGCUAAUACCGCAUGAAGCAUACGAACAGCAUUGUAAGUAUGUCAAAGGAGCAAUCCGCAGAAAGAUGGG